GGUGCAACAUUUACAAUAAUUUGCUUUUUUUACUUAAACAUAAAAUUUAAAAAUAAUCAAACUUAAUGCUUUAUCCAGAUGCUACGAAGUGGCGAUAACGGAUUUGGCAACAACGGCGGUGAGAAACCACUUCGUCCGCUUGUCAUCGUAACAACGGGCGUCAUAAUAUCAACGGAAAAACACGAAAAGAAAUAAUUUGAUCCCGUCCCGUUCCAUUCGCCGGUGGCUCCAGUCUGUUCUCCGUGUCUCGGACCAUUUCGUACCUGUGGAGGAGAAGAAUGAUAAGUCGAUUCGACAGGUAAUCGAGGACGACGCCCCCGACAAUCCUUUGGGGUUGCCACUCCAAAGCGGCUGGAGUGGAUCGCAAGGUGACGUCAUUUAUCUGCGAAAUCGUUGAUACCAAAAACUUAAUUUUAAUGUUAUAUUACCCAGACGACUCGAAGGUGGC